rnacentral:rRNA from 1 species
GACGAACGCUGGCGGCGUGCUUAACACAUGCAAGUCGAACGGAAAGGCUCCAGCUUGCUGGCGUACUCGAGUGGCGAACGGGUGAGUAACACGUGGGUAAUCUGCCCUGCACUCUGGGAUAAGCCUGGGAAACUGGGUCUAAUACUGGAUAUGACCUUUCUCCUUAUGGGGUUUGGUGGAAAGUUUUUCGGUGUAGGAUGAGCCCGCGGCCUAUCAACUUGUUGGUGGGGUGAUGGCCUACCAAGGCGACGACGGGUAGCCGGCCUGAGAGGGUGAUCGGCCACAUUGGGACUGAGAUACGGCCCAGACUCCUACGGGAGGCAGCAGUGGGGAAUAUUGCACAAUGGGCGGAAGCCUGAUGCAGCGACGCCGCGUGAGGGAUGACGGCCUUCGGGUUGUAAACCUCUUUCAGCAGGGACGAAGCGUAAGUGACGGUACCUGCAGAAGAAGCACCGGCUAACUAUGUG